GACGAACGCUGGCGGCGUGCCUAAUACAUGCAAGUCGAACGAGAGCGACCGGUGCUUGCACUGGUCAAUCUAGUGGCGAACGGGUGAGUAACACGUGGGUAACCUGCCCAUCAGAGGGGGAUAACAUCCGGAAACGGAUGCUAAAACCGCAUAGGUCUUCGAGCCGCAUGGCUUGAAGAGGAAAAGAGGCGCAAGCUUCUGCUGAUGGAUGGACCCGCGGUGCAUUAGCUAGUUGGUGAGGUAACGGCUCACCAAGGCCGUGAUGCAUAGCCGACCUGAGAGGGUGAUCGGCCACAUUGGGACUGAGACACGGCCCAAACUCCUACGGGAGGCAGCAGUAGGGAAUCUUCCGCAAUGGACGCAAGUCUGACGGAGCAACGCAGCGUGAGUGAAGAAGGUUUUCGGAUCGUAAAACUCUGUUGUUAGAGAAGAACAAGUGCUAGAGUAACUGUUAGCGCCUUGACGGUAUCUAACCAGAAAGCCACGGCUAACUACGUG
rnacentral:rRNA from 1 species